AUUGAACGCUGGCGGCAGGCCUAACACAUGCAAGUCGAGCGAGCGGCGGACGGGUGAGUAAUGUAUGGGGACUGCCCGAUAGAGGGGGAUAACUACUGGAAACGGUGGCUAAUACCGCAUACUGUCGGACAACCCGUAUGGGAUUAGCUAGUAGGUAAGGUAAGGGCGUACCUAGGCGACGAUCCCUAGCUGGUCUGAGAGGAUGAUCAGCCAAACUGGGACUGAGACACGGCCCAGACUCCUACGGAGGCAGCAGUGGGGAAUAUUGCACAAUGGGGGCAAGCCUGAUGCAGCCAGGCCGCGUGAAUGAAGAAGGCCCUAGGGUUGUAAAGUACUUUCAGUCGGGAGGCGUUACCGACAGAAGAAGCACCGGCUAACUACGUGCCAGCAGCCGCGGUAAUAC
rnacentral:rRNA from 1 species